GCCGCCGUCCGGCUGUUAUCUCAGCUGCGCCCAGCGAGUGCGCCUCCAGCUCCGCUCGCCCCUAAUCUCGGCCUUCAAGUGAUUCCUUCAUCUGCGGCUCGGCCCCUUUACGGCUGGCGGUGGGGCAGCGUCACGUGACGGUCCCCCUCCCCCGGAAUGUGUUUCUGGCAAUCUCUCUUUCUCCCUCUCUUCUGUCCCCACCCCCACCCCCCAAGAGUCGGGUAUAGGGAUUUCCUUGUGGUUUCCCAUCCAAAUACAAAUCA